rnacentral:rRNA from 1 species
UCGGGAAUUUUGGGCAAUGGGCGAAAGCCUGACCCAGCAACGCCGCGUGAAGGAUGAAGUAUUUCGGUAUGUAAACUUCGAAAGAAUAGGAAGAAUAAAUGACGGUACUAUUUAUAAGGUCCGGCUAACUACGUGCCAGCAGCCGCGGUAAUACAGAGGGUGCAAGCGUUAAUCGGAAUUACUGGGCGUAAAGCGCGCGUAGGUGGUUUGUUAAGUUGGAUGUGAAAGCCCCGGGCUCAACCUGGGAACUGCAUCCAAAACUGGCAAGCUAGAGUACGGUAGAGGGUGGUGGAAUUUCCUGUGUAGCGGUGAAAUGCGUAGAUAUAGGAAGGAACACCAGUGGCGAAGGCGACUUGCUGGACUUAUGGUGACGCUGAGACGCGAAAGCGUGGGGAGCAAACAGGAUUAGAUACCCAGGUAGUCCCUGAGCGGGCUGGCAAGGCGCAU